UACAGAGGUCUCAAGCGUUGUUCGGAUUCAUUGGGCGUAAAGGGUGUGUAGGUGGCGCGCUAAGUCGGGUGUGAAAAUUUCGGAGCUUAACUCCGAAACUGCAUUCGAUACUGCCGUGCUUGAGGACUGGAGAGGAGACUGGAAUUUACGGUGUAGCGGUGAAAUGCGUAGAUAUCGUAAGGAAGACCAGUGGCGAAGGCGGGUCUCUGGACAGUUCCUGA
rnacentral:rRNA from 1 species